rnacentral:rRNA from 1 species
GACGAACGCUGGCGGCGUGCUUAACACAUGCAAGUCGUACGGUAAGGCCCUUUCGGGGGUACCCGAGUGGCGAACGGGUGAGUAACACGUGAGUAACCUGCCCACAACUUUGGGAUAACGCUAGUAAACUGGUGCUAAUACUGGAUAUGUGCUCCUGCUGCCUGGUGGGGGUUGGAAAGCUCCGGCGGUUGUGGAUGGACUCGCGGCCUAUCAGCUUGUUGGUGGGGUAGUGGCCUACCAAGGCGGCGACGGGUAGCCGGCCUGAGAGGGUGACCGGCCACAUUGGGACUGGGAUACGGCCCAGACUCCUACGGGAGGCAGCAGUGGGGAAUAUUGCACAAUGGGCGAAAGCCUGAUGCAGCAACGCCGCGGGCGGGAUGACGGCCUUCGGGUUGUAAACCGCUUUCAGCAGGGACGAAGCUUUUUGUGACGGUACCUGCAGAAGAAGCACCGGCUAACUACGUG